GUUUGAAGACGGAAAGUGCUUCGGGCCUUACAAGGCAGCUGGCCACCACAGGAAGUCUGCAUCUCUGCCUUAAGAUGGUGCACGCUGGUACAGCUAUGUUGACCAUUAAAUACUUCUGUGCCAGUUGGUGAGCAAUCCUUUCCUCAGGCUUCCCCAUAGUUGCAGAUCCACAUCUUCCACCAAUCCUACAAGAUACACAGAGAAGCCCUGGGGUCCUGCGCAUGCACUGUUGCAGGGUAUCCUUUGAAGGAUCCGGAGAGGAAACCAAGAGUCGUUCCACGUUUUGAACAUCAACUCUGGUUGUGGGGAUAAAACAGGAGUCGGGCGCGUCACGUGGCUAAGAUUAAAAGCCUGCAGAGUUUUGAAGUUUGUACGAAGCAUGUGUACAUAGAACCUGCUCAAACCAAGAGCGUAUAUUCCCCCUCGGGACCAAGAAAUCUGCCCUGAAAAGCUAUGGAAACCGAAUCAAGGGAAUAAGAGCAUAGUGUAGCGGAACCUCAGAGACGUUCUCUUAGCCUUUGAGCACUCUGCCCAUGCGCAGAGGAGGGACGGGCUCCGCCAUUCGUUAAACCUCAUUAUGAAGUGCUCACAAUUGGCUGUCUUUACCUUGUUCUUACAAAAAAAAAAAAUAAAUAAAUAAAAUAAUAAAAAAACCCUAGGUUUGUGCAAU
rnacentral:lncRNA from 1 species